rnacentral:antisense_RNA from 1 species
GGCCCUCCCGGCUUCCAUCUCCUCCCAGCUACCUGCAGUGCCACCAGGUUUAUCACCUUAGAGCAUCCAGAGCCACAGUUACCCAGAGAGAAGAGAAGGAGGAGACACAGGGCUUGGGGACGAAGGCAUUCAAACAGGCAGGUCUCCAACGGGAAUCCCCUGACGGCCGCUACACGACCAUUCCUACAGCAUUACUAGAUUUCCUGCAGCUUCGAAAUGCAAACAUUUCCUCAGACGAAAGUUAAAAUCGUCACUCAGAACCAAACCCCGAGUGAGAAGGGUCUCUGCUCCCAG